GGCAGGAGGGAGGGCCGCGCGGCUGGGGAGACGUCGGGUGGGGCGGCAGGCGGCACGCCUCGACCCCCUGGCGCUGAGCGAGCAGCUCCGGCUCUUCCUUCCUCCAGAAAUGCUGCAUCAUGAACCCGACGACGACCCGGGGCUGAGCCCGAAGCGGCCGGAGAGCGGCUCCCCCGGGGCCCGUUAGCAGCCCCGAGGCGGAAAGGGAGGAAAAGCCGGAGGGAGACCCUCCUCCCGACCCCCUGCCCUGUCAAUCCGGCCCGGGUUGAGCCCCCCCUCCCCUCCGCAGGACGGCGAUGCUUCGGCUGUAGAGUCCGGGCAGGGCGGGGAAUUCCGGUCCCGCGAAGAGACGCCUAGUGCCUGCAAAGCGGAGGGAGGAGGGGAAGAGGAGGAGGAGGAGGAGGACUGGCCCCUCCCCGCCCCGUCCCUCCGAGCAUCUCGUCCGACAACUCUUCAACUUCUCGGCCAGUCGACGGAGCCGCUUCUCCGGGCCGGCGGCGAGAACUUCUGCCCAGGCGGCCCGUCGGUGCUCUUGGCUGGGUCCGCUUUCUCCGCAGCGACUGAAAACAAACGGGAGCCGACGUGCGUCAAGCUAACCAGCCGCGGGAGUUGCCGAGCAACGGGACGCCCGGAAAGCCUGAGCCGGGGAUCAAAGCGGAGGGGCUGCCGUCGGCUUCGGAAGGGUCGGACGCUCCCGCCGCUGUCGGCCGUCCGCCUCGCCCGGGGCGCCUGGUGCUGCGUGGCGGCCGGAGGGUGCCCCCUUGGCCGGCUCUCGCGGAGCUCCCCAUGCUGCUGUUGCCGCGGAAGUGGCCGGGCUGGCCGGCGUCGGCGCUGCGGCUGCCGCAGAAGUUCUUGUUCCUGCUCUUCCUCUCGGGCCUGCUCACGCUCUGCUUCGGCGCCCUCUUCUUGCUGCCUGACUCCUCCCGCGUCAAGCGCCUCUUCCUGACCCGCCACGGCGGAGCCGAGCUGGAAGCGCCCCGCAGCCCUCCGCCGGGACCCGGCCCGGCCCGCCACCUGCCCGCCA
rnacentral:lncRNA from 1 species